GGGAUAAGCCUGGGAAACUGGGUCUAAUACCGGAUAUGACCAGUUGGUGCAUGCCUUCUGGUGGAAAGCCUUGUGCGGUUGGGGAUGGGCCCGCGGCCUAUCAGCUUGUUGGUGGGGUAAUGGCCUACCAAGGCGACGACGGGUAGCCGACCUGAGAGGGUGAUCGGCCACACUGGGACUGAGACACGGCCCAGACUCCUACGGGAGGCAGCAGUGGGGAAUAUUGCACAAUGGGCGCAAGCCUGAUGCAGCGACGCCGCGUGAGGGAUGACGGCCUUCGGGUUGUAAACCUCUUUCACCAGGGACGAAGCUUUUGUGACGGUACCUGGAGAAGAAGCACCGGCCAACUACGUGCCAGCAGCCGCGGUAAUACGUAGGGUGCGAGCGUUGUCCGGAAUUACUGGGCGUAAAGAGCUCGUAGGCGGUUUGUCGCGUCGUCUGUGAAAUUCUGCACUUAACUGCAGGCGUGCAGGCGAUACGGCAGACUUGAGUACUACAGGGGAGACUGGAAUCUGGUGUAGCGUGAAUGC
rnacentral:rRNA from 1 species